UACGAAGGGGGCUAGCGUUGUUCGGAUUUACUGGGCGUAAAGCGCACGUAGGCGGAUCGUUAAGUCAGGGGUGAAAUCCUGGGGCUCAACCCCAGAACUGCCUUUGAUACUGGCGAUCUCGAGUCCGGAAGAGGUGAGUGGAACUCCUAGUGUAGAGGUGGAAUUCGUAGAUAUUAGGAAGAACACCAGUGGCGAAGGCGGCUCACUGGUCCGGUACUGACGCUGAGGUGCGAAAGCGUGGGGAGCGAACGGG
rnacentral:rRNA from 1 species